ACACAUGCAAGUCGAGCGGUAGCACAAGAGAGCUUGCUCUCUGGGUGACGAGCGGCGGACGGGUGAGUAAUGUCUGGGAAACUGCCUGAUGGAGGGGGAUAACUACUGGAAACGGUAGCUAAUACCGCAUGACGUCUUCGGACCAAAGUGGGGGACCUUCGGGCCUCACGCCAUCAGAUGUGCCCAGAUGGGAUUAGCUAGUAGGUGGGGUAAUGGCUCACCUAGGCGACGAUCUCUAGCUGGUCUGAGAGGAUGACCAGCCACACUGGAACUGAGACACGGUCCAGACUCCUACGGGAGGCAGCAGUGGGGAAUAUUGCACAAUGGGCGCAAGCCUGAUGCAGCCAUGCCGCGUGUAUGAAGAAGGCCUUCGGGUUGUAAAGUACUUUCAGCGAGGAGGAAGGCAUUAAGGUUAAUAACCUUAGUGAUGACGUACUCGCAGAAGA
rnacentral:rRNA from 1 species